rnacentral:rRNA from 1 species
UACGUAGGGGGCGAGCGUUGUCCGGAAUCAUUGGGCGUAAAGAGCGUGUAGGCGGUCCGUUAAGUCUGGUGUGAAAUCUUGAGGCUCAACCUCAAGCUGUCAUCGGAUACUGUCGGGCUAGAGUCCGGAAGAGGAGAGUGGAAUUCCUGGUGUAGCGGUGGAAUGCGCAGAUAUCAGGAGGAACAUCCGUGGCGAAGGCGGCUCUCUGGUACGGUACUGACGCUGAGACGCGAAAGCGUGGGGAGCGAACAGG